rnacentral:sRNA from 1 species
UAUUCUGCCCCACGGGGAAGGAUGAGAAGCUUCGACUAAGGUUCGACUCGAGCGAAGCGAGAGAACGUUGCAGGCAACGGCCCGAGCGAGGCGCUUAGCGCCGAGUAAUCCUUCCCCACCACUG